rnacentral:lncRNA from 1 species
AGAAGGUUGAUAUGGAGGCAAAUGCAGCUUCUCCAAAGCCCAAUUUUUCUGAAGUUGGAUCCCAGGGAAUAAUCUCGGAAAGACGGGCCAGGCGCGUCCUCUGGGCCCACGGAUGUGGGGACAUCGGCGCCACAUUAGAGAGUCAGGAAAGAGAUCCAGUAGGAAAGAUGGACAGCUUGCACGGAAUCCAGACUUUGGGCAACGGAGGCGGGGCUUUAUGAGGAAGCUUCAUCAGGUCAAUCCCACAACUCUGAAGCUGGACCUGGGGCCCCUGACUUCAGACACCUCCAUAUCCCUGCCAUCCCUGCACCUGACUAGUAGAGAAUGACCAAAGAUUGCUGAGGAGCAGGGAGAGACAGGGUUCAAACUGGAUGUGGCUGAGAGUGGCGGGAUGGUCUGAAAUGAACGGAUCAGAGAAUGAAC